CCUACGGGAGGCAGCAGUAAGGAAUAUUGGGCAAUGGAGGCAACUCUGACCCAGCCAUGCCGCGUGCAGGAUGACUGCCCUAUGGGUUGUAAACUGCUUUUGUACCAGAGAAAACCCUUCUACGUGUAGAAGGCUGAUAGUAUGGUAAGAAUAAGGAUCGGCUAACUUCGUGCCAGCAGCCGCGGUAAUACGAAGGAUCCAAGCGUUAUCCGGAUUCAUUGGGUUUAAAGGGUGCGUAGGCGGUCAAAUAAGUCAGUGGUGAAAUCUCCGAGCUUAACUCGGAAAUUGCCAUUGAUACUGUUUGACUAGAGUUCAGAUGAUGUUGGCGGAAUGUGUCAUGUAGCGGUGAAAUGCUUAGAUAUGACACAGAACACCGAUUGCGAAGGCAGCUGACAAAACUGAUACUGACGCUGAUGCACGAAAGUGCGGGGAUCAAACAGGAUUAGAUACCCUGGUAGUCCGCACCGUAAACGAUNAUACUACGUAUGUUGUCGAUAUACAGUAAGACGUACCGAACGACGAAGACGUUAAGUAAGUACCGACCGUACGGGUAGGUACGGCCGGACCGACGGUACGUAAACGUUAAAGGUAAAGUUAGUACGGACGUUGAGAGAGCGACGGACGACGACGAGGGAGGUAGG
rnacentral:rRNA from 1 species